UACAGAGGUCCCAAGCGUUGUUCGGAUUCAUUGGGCGUAAAGGGUGCGUAGGCGGUAGGGUAAGUCUGGUGUGAAAUCCCGGGGCUCAACCCCGGAACUGCACUGGAUACUGCUUUACUAGAGUACUGGAGAGGGAACUGGAAUUUACGGUGUAGCAGUGAAAUGCGUAGAGAUCGUAAGGAAGACCAGUGGCGAAGGCGAGUUCCUGGACAGUUACUGACGCUGAGGCACGAAGGCCAGGGGAGCAAAC
rnacentral:rRNA from 1 species